rnacentral:rRNA from 1 species
UACAACAUAGCAUUAAUGCACCGGAUCCCAUUAGAAAUCCACAGUUAAGCGUGCUCAAGCUAGAGUAGUACUAGGAUGGGUGACCGCCCGAGAAGUCAUAGUGUUUUAC